AAAGGGCACGCAUAGACAUACGUUCUUUGGCAUAUGGUAGAGCGCCUUGGAAAGAUAACUCUGCAUGGGCAAU
rnacentral:tRNA from 1 species